UUGAACGCUGGUGGUAUGCUUAACACAUGCAAGUCGAACGAAGCUAAUAGCUUGCUAUUAGCUUAGUGGCGGACGGGUGAGUAACGCGUAGGAACCUUUCUCAUAGAGGGGGAUAACACUCGGAAACGAGUGCUAAUACCGCAUGUUACCUACGGGUAAAAGGUGCCUUCGGGUGCCGCUAUGAGGUGGGCCUGCGUUGGAUUAGCUAGUUGGUAGGGUAAGAGCCUACCAAGGCUACGAUCCAUAGCUGUUCUGAGAGGAAGAUCAGCCACACUGGGACUGAGACACGGCCCAGACUCCUACGGGAGGCAGCAGUGGGGAAUUUUGGACAAUGGGGGAAACCCUGAUCCAGCAAUACCACGUGUGUGAAGAAGGCCUUAGGGUUGUAAAGCACUUUAGUGAGGGAAGAAGACUACAGGGUUAAGAGCUAUGUAGUUUGACGUUACCUCAAGAAUAAGCACCGGCUAACUCCGU
rnacentral:rRNA from 1 species